UACAGAGGUCUCAAGCGUUGUUCGGAUCAUUGGGCGUAAAGGGUGCGUAGGCGGCGCGGUAAGUCGGGUGUGAAAUCUCGGGCUUAACUCCGAAACUGCAUUCGAUACUGCCGGUGCUUGAGGACUGGAGAGGAGACUGGAAUUCAUGGUGUAGCAGUGAAAUGCGUAGAGAUCAUGAGGAAGACCAGUGGCGAAGGCGGGUCUCUGGACAGUUCCUGACACUGAGGCACGAAGGCCAGGGGAGCAAACGGG
rnacentral:rRNA from 1 species